rnacentral:rRNA from 1 species
AGUUCGAUCAUGGCUCAGAUUGAACGCUGGCGGGAUGCUUUACACAUGCAAGUCGAACGGCAGCACGGACUUCGGUCUGGUGGCGAGUGGCGAACGGGUGAGUAAUGUAUCGGAACGUGCCUAGUAGCGGGGGAUAACUACGCGAAAGCGUAGCUAAUACCGCAUACGCCCUUCGGGGAAAGCGGGGGACCUCCCGGGCCUCGCACUAUUAGAGCGGCCGAUAUCGGAUUAGCUAGUUGGUGGGGUAACGGCUCACCAAGGCGACGCGAUCCGUAGCUGGUUUGAGAGGACGACCAGCCACACUGGGACCGAGACACGGCCCAGACUCCUACGGGAGGCAGCAGUGGGGAAUUUUGGACAAUGGGGAAACCUGAUCCAGCCAUCUCCGCGUGUGCGGUGAAGGCCUUCGGGUUGUAAAGCACUUUUGGCAGGAAAGAAACGGCACGGGAUAAUACCCCGUGCAACUGACGGUACCUGCAGAAUAAGCACCGGCUAACUACGUGCCAGCAGCCGCGGUAAUACGUAGGGUGCAAGCGUUAAUCGGAAUUACUGGGCGUAAAGCGUGCGCAGGCGGUUCGGAAAGAAAGAUGUGAAAUCCCAGAGCUUAACUUUGGAACUGCAUUUUUAACUACCGAGCUAGAGUGUGUCAGAGGGAGGUGGAAUUCCGCGUGUAGCAGUGAAAUGCGUAGAUAUGCGGAGGAACACCGAUGGGUGAAGGCAGCCUCCUGGGAUAACACUGACGCUCAUGCACGAAAGCGUGGGGAGCAAACAGGAUUAGAUACCCCGGUAGUCCACGCCCUAAACGAUGUCAACUAGCUGUUGGGGCCUUCGGGCCUUGGUAGCGCAGCUAACGCGUGAAGUUGACCGCCUGGGGAGUACGGUCGCAAGAUUAAACCAAAGGAAUUGACGGGACCCGCACAAGCGGUGGAUGAUGUGGAUUAAUUCGAUGCAACGCGAAAAACCUUACCUACCCUUGACAUGUCUGGAAUCCCGAAGAGAUUUGGGAGUGCUCGCAAGAGAACCGGAACACAGGUGCUGCAUGGCUGUCGUCAGCUCGUGUCGUGAGAUGUUGGGCAGUCCCGCAACGAGCGCAACCCUUGUCAUUAGUUGCUACGAAAGGGCACUCUAUCGAGACUGCCGGUGACAAACCGAGGAAGGUGGGGAUGACGUCAAGUCCUCAUGGCCCUUAUGGGUAGGGCUUCACACGUCAUACAAUGGUCGGGACAGAGGGUCGCCAACCCGCGAGGGGGAGCCAAUCCCCAGAAACCCGAUCGUAGUCCGGAUCGCAGUCUGCAACUCGACUGCGUGAAGUCGGAAUCGCUAGUAAUCGCGGAUCAGCAUGUCGCGGUGAAUACGUUCCCGGGUCUUGUACACACCGCCCGUCACACCAUGGGAGUGGGUUUUACCAGAAGUAGUUAGCCUAACCGUAAGGAGGGCGAUUACCACGGUAGGAUUCAUGACUGGGUGAAGUCGUAACAAGGUAGCUCUGAAAGCCAUUACCUGAUGC